UGUGGCAUGGUUAUGGAAGAGGUUUUUGCAGCCAGAAUAUUGGUGUAACUCCUUUUGGACUCAACAAGCUACCUAGUGGCUUAACCUACUACUGAAGGUCAGGAGAAUAUCAUUCAUCUUCCACAAUGCUCAUACAUCACCAGCUACACUUCUGGAGUUAUCAUGGAAUGUGAAACUGUGAGAACAUCCCAAGCAGGUAGAACUUAAUCCUCAGGCACAGCCUGCCUGAAAAGUUGGAGAUCAUAGAGACAAGAUGAGAUUCGGAUGCAGAGUC
rnacentral:lncRNA from 1 species